CAGUUCUUGACGUCGCCCUGACUGCAUGCACGGGUGAUGGCGUAGACCACCCCUGCUGACGAGAUGGCGUACACAAAGGCUGCUUCUCUGCUGCCUGUCCAGAAGAGGAACAAGUGGGACUUAAUGCCGUAAAUUUACCUGCCAUUUAACAACUGAUCAAGGCUCAUUUGUUCACGCACCAGCACCCACACCUGACGCUAAAGAUGGAUGGGACAGGAUAGGGGAGAUGAUGUACAUCCUCCACCAGACCAUUCAUCUUCAUCAAGGCAUGAGCCAAAAUAUUUGGAUGUAGGUGACGUCAUCGCCCUCGGCCGUGUCCUCGGCGUGUUUCCUCUUCUCCUCCUCCAGAUCCAUGAUCACCUAAAUACAAGACAGAGACCCACCAUUCUGUGCCUGCUUUCCGCUGCCGCUAACUGGGCCAGCAUCUUCUCCUGCAUCCUCCUGCAGUGGCUAACUACCAGCUUGAGCACCACCAGCGGGUUGGAAGUGGCUGCGUGUUCCUUGCCCCGGUGAUCUCCCACCACCUCGCCGUCUCUCUGUAGAGCAAGGAAGGGGUCGCUGAGGUCGUAGCGGCCGUAGCGCUCCUGCACGAAGAACUCUUUGCGCUGAGCCUGAUGAUGACACAGGUACUUCAUUGUUACAUUUCACAAAACAGCAGCGGUGACACGAGGAUGAAACAACAGAUGGCCAGGGCCUGUUUCCGGGCCGAGAGCCAGGCGAGAUGUCUCGAAGCAGGUGACGCAGCGCCAAGAUGGUUCACGGCGUGAAGAGGUCUCAACAAAAGAGGAUCAAGAGAUUACAGCGAACGCCAUCUUCUUUGGAAGAGUGACGACGGAGAGGACAGCGUUGUACAAGACGGUGGGUGGCACGUCUGAGGUUAGCUUAAUUGGCACAGCGAUUGUUUCUUAUCAAAAAUGAAACUAGAGGAACAGACCGUAAGCACGCCACAUAUUUUUAAUUUGAUAUUUACUAAUUUUGUUAAUAAAACUUUUCCUAUUUUGUGUAAUUUUGCAACAGAAAAUUGCCAGUGACUGAAAAAUGCGGCGGAGACUGUUAGAGUGGAGCUCACUCCAACUUAUUUUGCAAAAACCACAAGCAUAAAACUAAUCUACCUAGGUUAUUUAUUACUGGUUACAUACAUUCCAACAUAAUCAUACGAUAAAGAUAGUUUGGAAAACCCUGACAGAGACGAUGAAGAUGUCGGGACUGGACAUGAAGCUAACCGUGAAGAGUCUCCCCUCUUACACGCCUUCCAUGUUUUCUACAGAUUCAGCAAAGUUAAGGCUGAGUGGAUCACUUUUUUUGUCUUUCAAUUAGUCAUGGAGGUCACGUUAAAAAAAAAGUAGAUGACAAGUUUUGUUUUUUUCUGUAAAAGGGGCCCACAUCCCGUCAGUGUGCUUAUGUGUCAUUUUAGCAAAGAUCUUAGGUCAGACUUUCCAUUCUGGGUGUUUGUGUUGCACAAGGACACCCUUAAUCAUGAACGGUGUUCAUCACUGCGGCUCGAACAAAAAAAAAAAAAAAAAGAAUCAAUGCUUAGUCUGCACCUAUUUCCAUUAGUCUGCUAGGUAAAGCAAGGGACUGGCAGAAUAUCCCCCCCAAAAAAGCAUUUGAAAAAUAAAAUAAUUUAAAAUUACGACAAGGACAAACCGAUGUUAAACAUGACGUAGAAAAUUAUUCUACACUUGUAAAUUUCUGAGCACUUGUGUUUUCUAUCUGAGGUUUUGUGUGUCUGCUCUUAGAAUCAUCCAAGGAAUGAACUGCAAAGCCAAACAUCAGUGCUGUAAUUCACGACUGGAUCACUGGUAGCAAUAGCCGCCAUGUGAAAUUUCAUAUGCGUGUUUGGGAUUUUGCACAAAUGAGUCCAAUAUUCCCUUUCAGUGGCUACUGCAGAUCUGUGGGCCAAACACGAGCGUUGCCAGCAGAAGUAAAAAAAAAAAAAAAAAAAAAAAACAACAA